rnacentral:rRNA from 1 species
GACGAACGCUGGCGGCGUGCCUAAUACAUGCAAGUGGGACGCAAGGACACACACUGUGCUUGCACACCGUGUUUUCUUGAGUCGCGAACGGGUGAGUAACGCGUAGGUAACCUGCCUAUUAGCGGGGGAUAACUAUUGGAAACGAUAGCUAAUACCGCAUAAUAUUAAUUAUUGCAUGAUAAUUGAUUGAAAGAUGCAAGCGCAUCACUAGUAGAUGGACCUGCGUUGUAUUAGCUAGUUGGUAAGGUAAGAGCUUACCAAGGCGACGAUACAUAGCCGACCUGAGAGGGUGAUCGGCCACACUGGGACUGAGACACGGCCCAGACUCCUACGGGAGGCAGCAGUAGGGAAUCUUCGGCAAUGGACGAAAGUCUGACCGAGCAACGCCGCGUGAGUGAAGAAGGGUUUCGGAUCGUAAAGCUCUGUUGUAAGUCAAGAACGUGUGUGAGAGUGGAAAGUUCACACAGUGACGGUAGCUUACCAGAAAGGGACGGCUAACUACGUG